CUGGCCCAACUGCGAGCUCUGGCGCUGAGAAAACUAAGUGGCGACUCACUGCGCUGUUCAUAUGGCAACAGAGCGCGAGCUGUAAACACGCGGCUGCAGGGGGGCGCUGCUCUGAGCCCGGGAGCUGCAGCGGCGCGCGGGUACCUUGCACGCCACUUGCCCGGUCUGUGGAGUCCGCCGCGGGGUCUCCCGUGAGCCUGGAGCGAGCGCGAGGCGUCAUGGGCUGUUCUAGCAGCACUCAGACCCAGACCCAGGACAGCAACCGGCCGGCUGCAAAACCCAGCGACACCAACGGGCUGCAGAAAUGUGGUGAGCACGGACCGGCCAAGCGGGGCUCUUCUCUCUCUGAUGAAAACUCUCCAAUCACAGAAGAAAAUGAAACUAUACCUGACCAGACAAAGUUGGACUCAAUGGAGGAGGUGGAUCUCACACCUGAGGAGACAAAACCCAGUGAGAAUCUUCCAGCUAAGGAGACAGAAGUUUUGAUUCCAGCAACCGCAGAAUGUGUUAAUUCUGACUAUAAAAGAGAGGAUCUGGAGGGCAUUCAACCACUGGCUGCAGAACCACUGGACGGCACUGAACCACAAGUGAAACAGAUUGAGAUACCGCCGCCUGUGGGACCGGCAGAGGGCACUGGGAUACCGCCGCCUGCGGGACCGGCAGAGGGCACUGGGAUACCGCCGCCUGCGGGACCGGCAGAGGGCACUGGGAUACCGCCGCCUGCGGGACCGGCAGAGGGCACUGGGAUACCGCCGCCUGCGGGACCGGCAGAGGGCACUGGGAUACCGCCGCCUGCGGGACCGGCAGAGGGCACUGGGAUACCGCCGCCUGCGGGACCGGCAGAGGGCACUGGGAUACUGUUGCCUGCGGGACCGGCAGAGGGAAGUGUCCAUCCUGUAACAGAAGUCAUCUGGAAAGUAAAAAGUAACAAAGAGGACCAACUAAUUGAGGGUGAGACGGGAGAAAAAGUGGAAACUGAGAAGCACAGUGAGCUAGUAAGUGAGGGGACUGAAACAAAAGAAGAAGAAACAGGAGAAGCUGUGGAUGCUACAGCAGCACCAGAGAUAGAUCAUCCGGCUUUUUGUUAUUAGCAGCUGAAUUCAGCAGCAUAACACUGGAGUAAAUGCACAUUCCAGAGUCAAUGCAAUCAUGUGGAGGCAAAGAAAAAUGAAGAAUGAGAGUCAGGUCUAUAUGGAUGUCCUCUUCUUGGUUCUAGCAGCUGCCCAAAUGAACAUUCUUUAAUCUAAUGGCUUUUGUGAGAAAAUAUUGAGAUUUUGUGGAAGCUUCUAUGACUUCGCUAUAAGCAUUAACAAGGGGCCCGAGGGGAAAAAAAGUAUUUUUCCUGAAGUCAAGUUGCCAAGACUUCAACAAGUAAUUGUAUGAACUUUUUACCUAUCUGCCAUAGAGUGCCUUCUAUUCACUGUUAAUAGAGCGGAAUUGUCAUAUAAAACAGUUCCUUAAAAUCAGAGGAACUGUUAUAACUGGUAUCAACUAGCAUUAUACAGAAUUCAAAAGAUAUAGUACUGUAUGUUUUUUCAAUGUUAUUUGCUAGGUUGAGAUCAGAAACAUGGGUCCAGUCCUUAUCCUAAACUUUACACAGGCAAGCUGCUCAAGUGUUUAGAUGUAGAUGGGAUUAGACCCUGAAGAGUGCUCAUUUAACAGGACCUGGCUUAAUGCAACAAUCAGUUUUUCAAGAAAAUAAAGAAUUCAUAGGGUGUGACACCCUUUGUUGGAAAAUAUUUUUGGUGACCUAUGGUUACCGAUAGGACAG